UCCGGUUUGGCACCGGCAGUCCCUCCAGAGUCCCCGGCACGCCUCUCGGCGCCCGCUGGCAACUGGACGCGGGGGUUGCGCUCGUUGCGGGACUUAACCCAACAUCUCACGACACGAGCUGACGACAGCCAUGCAGCACCUGUGCACGGACUCCGAAGAGGGCCCCCUGUUUCCAGAGGGUUUCCCGUGCAUGUCAAGCCUAGGUAAGGUUCUUCGCGUUGCGUCGAAUUAAACCACAUGCUCCACCGCUUGUGCGGGCCCCCGUCAAUUCCUUUGAGUUUCAGCCUUGCGGCCGUACUCCCCAGGCGGGGCACUUACUGCGUUAGCGACGGCACUCGGAGGGUCGCUCCCCCAAGCACCUAGUGCCCAUCGUUUACGGCGUGGACUAC
rnacentral:misc_RNA from 1 species